AGACUUUAUUGACAUGGCAAGUUAAAUUACUUACAUUGUCAAAGUAUACAUAUAACACAACAUGGUGGGACCAACAGCAAAAAGGCAUCAAUCAUAGUAAUAGUGGAAAUGGGAUUACUAUUAACAGCAACAACAAUAUUAAUGAGAAAUAGUAGUAAAUAAAAGCAAUAGUAGUAGACCAAUCUCCACAUCUUUCUCUCUCUGUGUGUUUGAGGCUACCUCUUCUAGGACCAUGUGCUUUAUUCAGACGGUUUAGUUUUUUUAAUGCGUUUCAAACCCACUGCUGUUUAUCAGACACCACAUGGUGACUAAUGCCAACGCUAACGCCACCUACCUGCCUGCUCUGAAAAGUCCCUGUGUGUGUCUGUGUUCUGUGUGUUUGUGUGUCUCUGCCUCCAGUGAAAAUCCUUCCAGUAUUUCUCAGAAUAUUCCUUACCCUUUAAUAACGGAACUAAAUAUGGUUUUCAUUAAGUGAUGGCCAACAGCAUUUACCUGUCAGAACGGAGGCAUCCUGUUCUGAGCCAAGGCUGAGUUGGUGUUCAUUAGACAGCUCCCAAAUGUCUCUCAGCUGAACUCAGCCACCCACUCUGACAUUUAGAACACUAGGCUGCCUCCUGAUGCCAGUAGGUCUGACAUCACUAGGCUGCCCCCUGAUGCCAGUAGGUCUGACAUCACUAGGCUGCCCCCUGAUGCCAGUAGGUCUGACAUCACUAGGCUGCCCCCUGAUGCCAGUAGGUCUGACAACCUGACUGUGCUAUGUUGUGUGUGUGUGUGUGUGUGUGUCUGUAUGGGCUAGUGUAAUGGCGACUAUUUCCAUAAUUUAUCAAGCCGCUGGACUGAAUCAUUGAGCCUGAAAUUGUUGACCAUUUUAGAGUGAAGAGCUCCCCACUAGACCUGACAUUGGAAUGCACGUGGACACACACACACACACACACACACACACACACACACACACACACACACACACACACACACACACACACACACACACACACACACACACACACACACACACACACACACACGUACACACUCUCCUCCUUGCUCCACAGGUGAGUUCAGCAGCCCUGCGCUCCAACAUCACUUCCUGGAAGCUUGGUAGAGCAACGUUGAUUUUGGCUUAGAAAGGGACACGUUGGCGUACGACCGACCGGGACUGAGGGGAAAAUCAGAGUGGGAGACGCCCAGCCGCCUUUCAUUUGUCCUUCGUCCUCGCCAGCAACAGAAACCUGGAACGGAGGGAGGGGUCCACUGCGGUCAUGAAAUGGUCCAAUGGUUGGACUGCAUGUUGUUUUGAGACUUGUUGAGGAAUCAUGACACAGCGAGGGAGGAGAGAGAGAUCUGUGUAUCUGAUUGACUUCAAAGAAUGUGUAAUUCACAGAGAAACACUGCCUCUGUGUGACGUGAACGCACUGCGAUCUGUUUUCUCCCGGGCUCUGCUUAAAAUGUGAUGUGGGAUAGCUAAUUCUCUGUUUAGGAUGUGAUGUGGGAUAGCUAAUUCUCUGUUUAGGAUGUGAUGUGGGAUAGCUAAUUCUCUGUUUAGGAUGUGAUGUGGGAUAGCUAAUUCUCUGUUUAGGAUGUGAUGUGGGAUAGCUAAUUCUCUGUUUUAGAAUGUGAUGUGGGAUAGCUAAUUCUCUGUUUAGGAUGUGAUGUGGGAUAGCUAAUUCUCUGUUUAGAAUGUGAUGUGGGAUAGCUAAUUCUCUGUUUAGAAUGUGAUGUGGGAUAGCUAAUUCUCUGUUUAGAAUGUGAUGUGGGAUAGCUAAUUCUCUGUUUAGAAUGUGAUGUGGGAUAGCUAAUUCUCUGUUUAGGAUGUGAUGUGGGAUAGCUAAUUCUCUGUUUAGAAUGUGAUAGCUAAUUCUCUGUUUAGAAUGUGAUGUGGGAUAGCUAAUUCUCUGUUUAGGAUGUGGUGUGGGAUAGCUAAUUCUCUGUUUAGAAUGUGAUAGCUAAUUUUCUGUUUAGAAUGUGAUGUGGGAUAGCUAAUUCUCUGUUUAGGAUGUGAUGUGGGAUAGCUAAUUCUCUGUUUAGAAUGUGAUAGCUGUUUAGAAUGUGAUGUGGGAUAGCUAAUUCUCUGUUUAGGAUGUGAUGUGGGAUAGCUAAUUCUCUGUUUAGGAUGUGAUGUGGGAUAGCUAAUUCUCUGUUUAGAAUGUGAUGUGGGAUAGCUAAUUCUCUGUUUAGAAUGUGAUAGCUAAUUCUCUGUUUAGAAUGUGAUGUGGGAUAGCUAAUUCUCUGUUUAGAAUGUGAUGUGGGAUAGCUAAUUCUCUGUUUAGAAUGUGAUGUGGGAUAGCUAAUUCUCUGUUUAGAAUGUGAUGUGGGAUAGCUAAUUCUCUGUUUAGAAUGUGAUGUGGGAUAGCUAAUUCUCUGUUUAGAAUGUGAUGUGGGAUAGCUAAUUCUCUGUUUAGAAUGUGAUGUGGGAUAGCUAAUUCUCUGUUUAGAAUGUGAUGUGGGAUAGCUAAUUCUCUGUUUAGAAUGUGAUGUGGGAUAGCUAAUUCUCUGUUUAGAAUGUGAUGUGGGAUAGCUAAUUCUCUGUUUAGGAUGUGAUAGCUAAUUCUCUGUUUAGAAUGUGAUGUGGGAUAGCUAAUUCUCUGUUUAGAAUGUGAUGUGGGAUAGCUAAUUCUCUGUUUAGGAUGUGGUGUGGGAUAGCUAAUUCUCUGUUUAGGAUGUGGUGUGGGAUAGCUAAUUCUCUGUUUAGAAUGUGAUAGCUAAUUCUCUGUUUAGAAUGUGAUGUGGGAUAGCUAAUUCUCUGUUUAGAAUGUGAUAGCUAAUUCUCUGUUUAGAAUGUGAUAGCUAAUUCUCUGUUUAGAAUGUGAUGUGGGAUAGCUAAUUCUCUGUUUAGGAUGUGAUGUGGGAUAGCUAAUUCUCUGUUUAGGAUGUGAUGUGGGAUAGCUAAUUCUCUGUUUAGGAUGUGAUGUGGGAUAGCUAAUUCUCUGUUUAGAAUGUGAUGUGGGAUAGCUAAUUCUCUGUUUAGGAUGUGAUGUGGGAUAGCUAAUUCUCUGUUUAGAAUGUGAUGUGGGAUAGCUAAUUCUCUGUUUAGAAUGUGAUGUGGGAUAGCUAAUUCUCUGUUUAGAAUGUGAUGUGGGAUAGCUAAUUCUCUGUUUAGGAUGUGGUGUGGGAUAGCUAAUUCUCUGUUUAGGAUGUGGUGUGGGAUAGCUAAUUCUCUGUUUAGGAUGUGGUGUGGGAUAGCUAAUUCUCUGUUUAGAAUGUGAUAGCGAAUUCUCUGUUUAGAAUGUGAUGUGGGAUAGCUAAUUCUCUGUUUAGAAUGUGAUAGCUAAUUCUCUGUUUAGAAUGUGAUAGCUAAUUCUCUGUUUAGAAUGUGAUGUGGGAUAGCUAAUUCUCUGUUUAGGAUGUGAUGUGGGAUAGCUAAUUCUCUGUUUAGGAUGUGAUGUGGGAUAGCUAAUUCUCUGUUUAGAAUGUGAUGUGGGAUAGCUAAUUCUCUGUUUAGGAUGUGAUGUGGGAUAGCUAAUUCUCUGUUUAGAAUGUGAUGUGGGAUAGCUAAUUCUCUGUUUAGAAUGUGAUGUGGGAUAGCUAAUUCUCUGUUUAGAAUGUGAUGUGGGAUAGCUAAUUCUCUGUUUAGAAUGUGAUGUGGGAUAGCUAAUUCUCUGUUUAGAAUGUGAUGUGGGAUAGCUAAUUCUCUGGAGUUAAAAUAAAAAAGUAUUUCUUUGGGGGAAAAA